GCCACUGUAGCUCAGCCUGGUUAGAGCGCCAGACUCAUAAUCUGGAGGUCGAGGGUUCAGAUCCCUCUAGUGGCA
rnacentral:tRNA from 1 species